GACGAACGCUGGCGGCGUGCUUAACACAUGCAAGUCGAACGGAAAGGCCCUGCUUUUGUGGGGUGCUCGAGUGGCGAACGGGUGAGUAACACGUGAGUAACCUGCCCUUGACUUUGGGAUAACUUCAGGAAACUGGGGCUAAUACCGGAUAGGAGCUCCUGCUGCAUGGUGGGGGUUGGAAAGUUUCGGCGGUUGGGGAUGGACUCGCGGCUUAUCAGCUUGUUGGUGGGGUAGUGGCUUACCAAGGCUUUGACGGGUAGCCGGCCUGAGAGGGUGACCGGCCACAUUGGGACUGAGAUACGGCCCAGACUCCUACGGGAGGCAGCAGUGGGGAAUAUUGCACAAUGGGCGGAAGGCUGAUGCAGCAACGCCGCGUGCGGGAUGACGGCCUUCGGGUUGUAAACCGCUUUCGCCUGCGACGAAGCGUGAGUGACGGUAAUGGGUAAAGAAGCACCGGCUAACUACGUG
rnacentral:rRNA from 1 species